AUGGCUGUCGUCAGCUCGUGUCGUGAGAUGUUGGGUUAAGUCCCGCAACGAGCGCAACCCUUAUCCCUAGUUGCCAGCACUUUGGGUGGGAACUCUAGGGAGACCGCCGGUGAUAAACCGGAGGAAGGUGGGGACGACGUCAAGUCAUCAUGGCCCUUAUGGGCAGGGCUACACACGUGCUACAAUGGUCGGUACAGAGGGUUGCCAAGCAGCAAUGUGGAGCUAAUCCCGAAAAGCCGGUCGUAGUCCGGAUCGGAGUCUGCAACUCGACUCCGUGAAGUCGGAAUCGCUAGUAAUCGCGAAUCAGCAACGUCGCGGUGAAUACGUUCCCGGGUCUUGUACACACCGCCCGUCACACCAUGGAAGUUGGUUGCACCAGAAGUCGGUAGCUUAACCUUCGGGGGGGCGCCGCCCACGGUGUGGCUAAUGACUGGGGUGAAGUCGUAACAAGGUAGCCGUACGGGAACGUGCGGCUGGAUCACCUCCUUUAAAGAGAGAAAAUGCAUCGGUAUUUCGUGCGAGCGUCCACCACAAGUUGCUUGAGUGUCCUAGGGGAAUACUGCGGUUUUCAGCUAGUUUGGGGCUUGCAGUUCAGAUUGAGGGUCUGUAGCUCAGUUGGUUAGAGCGCACCCCUGAUAAGGGUGAGGUCGGAAGUUCAACUCUUCCCAGACCCACCAUUCCCGGGGACGUUUAAUGAAUGCAGUAACCCGAAGAUGGUACCCUUCAUUGUGAGGGGGGAUUUGCGAGGAAGCGGGGCUGUAGCUCAGUUGGGAGAGCACCUGGUUUGCAACCAGGAGGUCACCGGUUCGAGCCCGGUCAGCUCCACCAUCCAGCAGCGGACUCAAAAGUUGUUCAGUAGAGCAACUUUUGACCCCUUUGUUGGGGCGCUCUUUAACAAUUUGGAAUGAUCCGUCUAUUGAGAUCUUAUGAUUUCAAUUGACGUCGCACUGUAUUUUUUAGUGAAAGAAAUAUGACUUAAUGGGAAUAACAUAUAACUCAGACUUUUUGGGGUUAUAUGGUCAAGCGAUUAAGCGCAUACAGUGGAUGCCUAGGCGGUAGGAGGCGAUGAAGGACGUGGCAGUCUGCGAUAAGCCUCGGUGAGCUGACAAACAAGCUUUGAUCCGGGGAUUUCCGAAUGGGGAAACCCGG
rnacentral:sRNA from 1 species